rnacentral:lncRNA from 1 species
CUGAUGUUGUUUUACUUGAAAAUGUUGCUUCUGUCUUGUUAUUUAAUAAUUUUUGUACUCAUGAAUCAAUUUUGAGGACUUUUUGAUAUGAUUAUAUAAAUGGUCAUUGUAAUGGAGGUUGUUUUUUUCUUGUCCGCAUGCAACAAAGCCACAAACAAAUAUUUUGCCAGGUGUUAAAUCUACAGUCAGGCAUGAUUGGCACAGUAUUUCCACACCCCUACAAUGCUACCAGUAGCUUUCUAGAAAAAGCUUCUUAAAUUUAAGCUAUUUAGCAACCAGUUAAACAUUUAUCAAUUCAAGUUAACUGUGAAGUGUG